rnacentral:rRNA from 1 species
UACGAAGGGUGCAAACGUUGCUCGGGAUUAUUGGGCGUAAAGCGCACGUAGGCGGCUUGGCAAGUCGGAUGUGAAAUCCCUCGGCUCAACCAAGGAAGUGCAUCCGAAACUGCUGAGCUUGAGUACGAAAGAGGAUCGCGGAAUUCCCGGUGUAGAGGUGAAAUUCGUAGAUAUCGGGAAGAACACCAGUGGCGAAGGCGGCUCACUGGCUCGUAUCUGACGCUCAGGCGCGAUAGCGUGGGGAGCGAACCGG